UUUUCAGACACAGAAGAGUAUAGUAGUCUCCUGUUUUCGAGUGGCUGUGAGUGUGAAGGAUAGUGACAGAACGGCAAAGGGGCCACCUAUGAAACGUGCAAAGAUCUCAUUUCAGUGGAAGAUAAUUUCCUUGUCCUUCAUGGUCCCUUUGGCCUACUGCUGUAUUUUGCUUCCUAUUUUGGUUUGCCAUCUUUAUCACUUCUUCAUGCAUGAGCCCAUUUGUUGGUGGAAUGAAAUAAUAAUCAGAAGGAGGAGAGCAAACAGUCUCAAGGUGUAGUAACUUUGGUAACUUCCAAAAUCGGACAGUGCGUGAAACAUACCAAAUCACAACAGCAUAGAAUAACACCGCUUUUCUUAUUUAAUGGUAUUUUUGUAGACUGGGGUUUUGCAGUGACUAAGGACUGUCUAACUGCCCGUUUGAGAGAUGAGGGUUCUAAUCUCAAACUAGAUUCCCUGUAUAAUCGGUAGAGGGGAUUAGAACAAAUCCAGAGAGCAAUUCAUCCAAUUCUAAGAAAAGAUUUUAUAAGUUUCCAAAAUAGUUUUUCAGAUAAAUAGUAUGAUUGUACUUUUGGAGAAAAGGCUUCUAUUCUACCGAUUUCUAGUUCUGCCACUUCCAUCAUGACAGUCUCAGCAGAAAUGUGGGCUAA
rnacentral:lncRNA from 1 species